rnacentral:rRNA from 1 species
AUGACGUGCCUCAAGUUAGCUAGAUUGCUUCCAUACGAGGAUCUGAGCUCUAAUAUCACAGCUGAGAGGAACGUGAUUUGCUUCAUUAUGUUGCCACGCUUCCUCGUGCUCUUUCUCCUCUUCAUCAUCCCUGUGUUCAAGCACUAUGCCAUUGGUGAAGAUGGCUUUAGAUACGGCGAUGGCAUCCCUUUGGGCAUGCUCCGGCUUGAUGGUGUGGCUUCUAUCACGAGCGGAGCACUUAUGCUGACCAACAGCGAUCCCCAGAGGAGUGGACGGGCUUUCUCUAGGAGCUCGUUUGGCUAUAUUACCUCUUUCUCGACAACCUUUGUGUUCCUCGUCAUCCCUCCGGAUAGCAAGGAUGGGGUGAGUGCGCAUGGGCUUGCCUUUGCACUUUCAUCCACGGUGGAAUUUGUAUUCGAUGCCCACCCGGGUCCAUACUUGGGCCUGACCAACAUGAAGAGCAGUGGUACUGGCACAAAUCAACUCUUUGCUAUUGAGCUUGAUACCAUCAAGAAUCCCCAAUUUGCUGAUAUUGAUGACAACCACGUUGGGAUUGAUGUAAACAGCAUGGUGUCUAUCAGUUCCCACACAGCUGGUUACUACACAUCAAAUGGUAUGUUCUCUCCCUUGAAGCUUGCUAGUGGUCAACCAAUGCAAGUAUGGGUGGACUAUGAUGGCACCUCACACAACAUUAGUGUCAGUUUAGCACCUUACUUAGAGCAUAAGCCUCAACGUCCACUACUAUCAAGCACUGUCAAUCUUACAUCUGUGUUGGCAAACAACUCAUUCUAUGUUGGGUUUUCAUCUUCAACCGGCCUCCUUAAGUCUAGGCACUACAUUAUUGGUUGGAGUUUCAAUACAACUCGGAAGGCUCAACCACUGAACUACACAUCUUUGUCUCAAGUUAUAGAGGAUGUUAGGCCAAAACCACAUACUCGCUCGCAUAUCCCUAGGGCCAUUCUUGUACCGGUUGUCACAAUAUCCACGGUGAUUGUGCUUGUUAUUUGUGGUGUUCUUUAUGCUCUUAGAAAGAAGGCAAGGAAUAAUUUUGAGUGGGAAAUCGAGGCUGGUCCACCAUCUUUCACAUAUAAAGAGCUAGUCAGUGCAACAAAAGGUUUCAAUGAUGCAAUGCUUCUAGGGGAGGGGGGAUUUGGAAAGGUGUAUAAAGGGGUGCUACAAACCUCAAAACAAAAUGUUGCGAUCAAGCGAGUUUCACCAGAGUCCAGGCAGGGGAUGAAGGAGUUCAUAUCUGAGAUUAUGAUCCUUGGUCACCUCCGCCAUCGCAACCUUGUCCAGUUGCUCGGUUAUUCUCGUCAUCGAAAUGAGCUGCUUCUAGUUUAUGAUUACAUGCCAAAUGGAUUGGGAGAAAGUUGUAAUACAUUGAGACAUCAAGACAAGCAUGCAAGACUCGGUGAUUUCGGCCUUGCAAGGUUGCACAACCACGAAAACGGAACAGGUGCCCACGUCACAAACAUUGCCGGCACACGAGGGUACAUUGCUCUUGAGCUGGCCAUGCUUGGGAGGGCAACCAAGGCGACUGAUGUGUUUGCGUUUGGUGUGUUCAUGUUGGAGGUUGCUUGCGGGAAGCAUCCGAUAGGAGUGAGCUAUUCUGGUGAGCAGCUGUUACUAAAAGACUGUGUGCGCCAUGCAUGGGAACGCGAUGCAAUCCUUACAACGGUAGACCCAAGACUGGAAGAUUAUAUAACGGAGGAGGUGGAGUUGGUACUAAAGCUUGGCCUUCUAUGCACACACUCAGUAUCCAAUGCUAGGCCAAGCAUGCGCCUAAUUAUGCAAUACCUUGGAAAGGAUGCGCUGCUCCCAGAUUUCCAACCGAGUUUUCCAGGAAGAGAUGAAGGCUUUGAUCAAUAUAUCAGUUCAUCCAACUCUGUGGCCACGACCAUGACUUAUCUUUCAGGAGGAAGAUGA